AUGCACGCUGGCGGCGUGCCUCAUACAUGCAAGUCGAGCGAACAGACGAGGAGCUUGCUCCUCUGACGUUAGCGGCGGACGGGUGAGUAACACGUGGAUAACCUACCUAUAAGACUGGGAUAACUUCGGGAAACCGGAGCUAAUACCGGAUAAUAUAUUGAACCGCAUGGUUCAAUAGUGAAAGACGGUUUUGCUGUCACUUAUAGAUGGAUCCGCGCCGCAUUAGCUAGUUGGUAAGGUAACGGCUUACCAAGGCAACGAUGCGUAGCCGACCUGAGAGGGUGAUCGGCCACACUGGAACUGAGACACGGUCCAGACUCCUACGGGAGGCAGCAGUAGGGAAUCUUCCGCAAUGGGCGAAAGCUUGACGGAGCAACGCCGCGUGAGUGAUGAAGGUCUUCGGAUCGUAAAACUCUGUUAAUAGGGAAGAACAAAUGUGUAAGUAACUAUGCACGUCUUGACGGUACCUAAUCAGAAAGCCACGGCUAACUACGUG
rnacentral:rRNA from 1 species